rnacentral:rRNA from 1 species
AAUACAACUUUCAACAACGGAUCUCUUGGCUCUCGCAUCGAUGAAGAACGCAGCGAAAUGCGAUAAGUAAUGUGAAUUGCAGAAUUCAGUGAAUCAUCGAAUCUUUGAACGCACCUUGCGCUCCUUGGUAUUCCGAGGAGCAUGCCUGUUUGAGUGUCA